AACGAACGCUGGCGGCAUGCCUAACACAUGCAAGUCGAACGAGACCUUCGGGUCUAGUGGCGCACGGGUGCGUAACGCGUGGAAACCUGCCCUUAGGUUCGGACUAACUCCCCGAAAGAGGUGCUAAUACCGAAUAUUGUCCUCGGACCAAAGAUUUAUCGCCUUUGGAUGGGCCCGCGUUGGAUUAGCUCGUUGGUAGGGUAAAAGCCUACCAAUGCGACGAUCCAUAGCUGGUCUGAGAGGAUGAUCAGCCACACUGGGACUGAGACACGGCCCAGACUUCUACGGGAGGCAGCAGUGGGGAAUAUUGGACAGUGGGCGAAAGCCUGAUCCAGCAAUGCCGCGUGAGUGAUGAAGGCCUUAGGGUUGUAAAGCUCUUUUACCUGGGAUGAUAAUGACAGUACCGGGAGAAUAAGCACCGGCUAACUCCGUG
rnacentral:rRNA from 1 species